rnacentral:lncRNA from 1 species
CAUUCCCGAUCGUUCCCUCAUCUACGGGAUCCCUGAAGUAUUUCGAGGGUUGCUCGCCAUUCCCACCACUGCCGCCGACCGCUGCCGCUUAGAUGAUAAUUGGCGAUCAUAUAGUAAAGGCAUCUAGCAUAAAUCUUAAAGCACAACGGUAAUUCACAAUGGUAACACCCCUCACAACAGCGGCUUUGUUCUAUGGGUUGAUUUUACUUUCCCAAAGGGUUCAUUCAUUCC